AACGAACGCUGGCGGCAGGCUUAACACAUGCAAGUCGAGCGCCCCGCAAGGGGAGCGGCAGACGGGUGAGUAACGCGUGGGAAUCUACCCAUCUCUACGGAAUAACGCAUGGAAACGUGUGCUAAUACCGUAUACGUACUUCGGGAGAAAGAUUUAUCGGAGAUGGAUGAGCCCGCGUUGGAUUAGCUAGUUGGUGGGGUAAAGGCCUACCAAGGCGACGAUCCAUAGCUGGUCUGAGAGGAUGAUCAGCCACACUGUGACUGAGACACGGCCCACACUCCUGCGGGAGGAAGCAGUGGGAAUUAUUGGUCAAUGGGCGGAAGCCUGAUCCAACCAUGCCGCGUGAGUGAUGAAGGCCCUAGGGUUGUAAGGCUCUUUCACCGGUGAAGAUAAUGACGGUAACCGGAGAAGAAGCCACGGCUAACUUCGUGCCAGCCGCCGCCGUAAGAC
rnacentral:rRNA from 1 species